AGUGAACGCUGGCGGUAGGCCUAACACAUGCAAGUCGAACGGCAGCACAGUAAGAGCUUGCUCUUACGGGUGGCGAGUGGCGGACGGGUGAGGAAUACAUCGGAAUCUACUUUUUCGUGGGGGAUAACGUAGGGAAACUUACGCUAAUACCGCAUACGACCUACGGGUGAAAGCAGGGGAUCUUCGGACCUUUCGCGAUUGAAUGAGCCGAUGUCGGAUUAGCUAGUUGGCGGGGUAAAGGCCCACCAAGGCGACGAUCCGUAGCUGGUCUGAGAGGAUGAUCAGCCACACUGGAACUGAGACACGGUCCAGACUCCUACGGGAGGCAGCAGUGGGGAAUAUUGGACAAUGGGCGAAAGCCUGAUCCAGCCACACCGCGUGGGUGAAGAAGGCCUUCGGGUCGUAAAGCCCUUUUGUUGGGAAAGAAAAGCAGCAGGUUAAUACACGGCUGUUCUGACGGUACCCAAAGAAUAAGCACCGGCUAACUUCGUG
rnacentral:rRNA from 1 species